rnacentral:piRNA from 1 species
AUUGGACCUGUUGAUAAAUUCGCU